rnacentral:lncRNA from 1 species
CCUGCCAUUUCUGAGGCGUACGUGGUGGAGACGAGGAGCUCGACUGACAUGGCUGCCGGCAGUGCGAGCAAGACGAGGAGGGCGAUCCUUGUGCUCUUCAUCUGGGCCGUGGCUAUGCUCUUCUUCAUGGCCGCCCUCCAGCCCAACGGUAAAUUAAUUGAUCUUGUAUGCAUAUAUACGAAAGAAUUUACUACUACAUUGAAAAAACAGUAAGGUCUUGUUUAAUUCGUGAAAUUUUUUAGCUUUGGCUACUAUAGCAUUUUCGUUUGUAUUUAAUAAUUACUCAUUACCAAAAUAGUGAAGUUCUUCUAGUGUUUUUAAUUAAUAGUAAAACACUACCACUAGUUGUCAUAGCACUAGGGAAUCCUCACUAGAAAAGAUUUACUAGAGAAAAGUUUUUACUAAAUUUUGGAUGCUAAAACACUAGAAAAAGUCCACAUCACUAGCAGUUAAAAAUUUUGGUUGUGAUUGUCUCGUCACGGACUAACUAGGUUCAAAAGAUUUAUCUUGUAAAUCUAUGCAAUUAGUUUUUUGUUUCCGUCUAUAUUUAAUACUCUAGGCAUACGUUAAAAGAUUCGACGAUGUGAUCAAGAAUUUUGAAAAAAAUUUAAAACUAAACCAGACCUAAGUAGCCUGUUGUUUUUCACCAUGCAUUUUCAUUUGUUUGACGCUGAUUUUGUUUGUUUAUUUACAGUACUCACCGCCGCCGACCAGAUCUACUGCAGGUGCUGCGCUGGAAACCAAGAGUGUACACUCGACCCGGCUUGCUGCUAUGACGGUUGCUGCCGCAUGAGACAUUGAUGCAUGCAUGACACCAAGCUUAUAAAUAUCCCCAUCAUCUUUGGCUGCAUUCAUGCAGCUUCUUGUCAGUUCGUACGUACGUACCUACAAUAGCACACACGAUCGACGUGUUCAACUUCGUUCAGCAGCCGUAUACCAAUGGAUAAUAAUGUACCUCUGCCGAGGUCUAUAUAUGUAUGUCUCCAGUUUAUGUUUUCAUUUCCGUUUGUGUGAGUGCUAAAUUAAAGUGUAAUCUGUCAAUCCCAGC